UCAAACUUGGUCAUUUAGAGGAAGUAAAAGUCGUAACAAGGUUUCCGUAGGUGAACCUGCGGAAGGAUCAUUAUUGAUUUUUUAAAGGAUGUGCUGGCCUCCUUGGGGCAAUGUGCACUCCCAAAAAAAAAACCAAAACAUAUCCCACCUGUGCACUUUUCAGUAGGCAAAAAAUUGACUUUUUGCAAGUCUCUUGCAAAGUCGUCUUCUUCUUGCCUAUGUUUCAUUACAAACACUUGAGCUUAUUUGAAUGCCUCACAUACAAUGACAUAAUUUGUAAAACAACUUUCAACAAUGGAUCUCUUGGUUCUCGCAUCGAUGAAGAACGCAGC
rnacentral:misc_RNA from 1 species